rnacentral:rRNA from 1 species
UAAUACAGAGGGUGCGAGCGUUAAUCGGAGUUACUGGGCGUAAAGGGCGCGUAGGCGGUCGGAUGAGUGUGAUGUGAAAGCCCCGGGCUUAACCUGGGAAGUGCAUCGCAAACGAUUUGACUGGAGUAGAUGAGAGGGUGGUGGAAUUUCCGGUGUAGCGGUGAAAUGCGUAGAGAUCGGAAGGAACGUCAAUGGCGAAGGCAGCCACCUGGCAUCAUACUGACGCUGAGGCGCGAAAGCGUGGGGAUCGAACAGGAUUAGAUACCCUGGUAGUCCACGCUGUAAACGAUGAGAACUAAAUGUUGGUGGGGGAACCCAUCAGUAUUGAAGCUAACGCGAUAAGUUCUCCGCCUGGGAAGUACGGCCGCAAGGUUG